CUCCGAGGGGCCGGGGGAAGGAGCCGGGAUACAAACCUCCAGCAUCCAAGUGGCCACCAUCCUCCUCAUGAAGGGCUGGAUGUCCUUCUGGACGCACUUGAAGUAGGAGCAUUGGGGCAGAUACCUCUCCUCUAUGGAAACUAAGGGCUCCCCUUCGGUACCCACUGAGACGACUGGGGUAAAGGAUGAAACGCCCUGGCUUAGCAGGGUGCCAGCUCCACAUCCCGACCCCCACCCCUCCAGCCCUUGACCCACUCUCCCCUCUGGCACCCCCUUAAUCUGCAGCUGGAGGGGUACAGAGCUCCCUGCGAACUGCAGCCUCACGGCAAACCCGAAAAUGACCCGUGACGAGUGGGGGUUCCUCGGCUUUUUCGGGGUGAAAUCUAACAAUAAUCACCACGCUACUUCCUCCGGCA